rnacentral:rRNA from 1 species
AUCUGCGAUAAGCGCCGGUAAGGUGAUAUGAACCGUUAUAACCGGCGAUACCCGAAUGGGGAAACCCAGUGUGAUUCGUCACACUAUCAUUAACUGAAUCCAUAGGUUAAUGAGGCGAACCGGGGGAACUGAAACAUCUAAGUACCCCGAGGAAAAGAAAUCAACCGAGAUUCCCCCAGUAGCGGCGAGCGAACGGGGAGGAGCCCAGAGCCUGAAUCAGCAUGUGUGUUAGUGGAAGCGUCUGGAAAGGCGCGCGAUACAGGGUGACAGCCCCGUACACAAAAGCGCAUGUGCUGUGAGCUCGAUGAGUAGGGCGGGACACGUGGUAUCCUGUCUGAAUAUGGGGGGACCAUCCUCCAAGGCUAAAUACUCCUGACUGACCGAUAGUGAACCAGUACCGUGAGGGAAAGGCGAAAAGAACCCCGGCGAGGGGAGUGAAAAAGAACCUGAAACCGUGUACGUACAAGCAGUGGGAGCACAGGUUUACCUGUGUGACUGCGUACCUUUUGUAUAAUGGGUCAGCGACUUAUAUUCUGUAGCAAGGUUAACCGUAUAGGGGAGCCGUAGGGAAACCGAGUCUUAACCGGGCGUUAAGUUGCAGGGUAUAGACCCGAAACCCGGUGAUCUAGCCAUGGGCAGGUUGAAGGUUGGGUAACACUAACUGGAGGACCGAACCGACUAAUGUUGAAAAAUUAGCGGAUGACCUGUGGCUGGGGGUGAAAGGCCAAUCAAACCGGGAGAUAGCUGGUUCUCCCCGAAAGCUAUUUAGGUAGCGCCUCGUGAAUUCAUCUCCGGGGGUAGAGCACUGUUUCGGCUAGGGGGCCAUCCCGGCUUACCAACCCGAUGCAAACUGCGAAUACCGGAGAAUGUUAUCACGGGAGACACACGGCGGGUGCUAACGUCCGUCGUGAAGAGGGAAACAACCCAGACCGCCAGCUAAGGUCCCAAAGUCAUGGUUAAGUGGGAAACGAUGUGGGAAGGCCCAGACAGCCAGGAUGUUGGCUUAGAAGCAGCCAUCAUUUAAAGAAAGCGUAAUAGCUCACUGGUCGAGUCGGCCUGCGCGGAAGAUGUAACGGGGCUAAACCAUGCA